UGUGACAGCCAUGCAUGAGCGACUGUUCCUUGUCUGCAGUUGCUGUGAAAAAAAAGGAGACAUAUGGUGCUGCGCGCAAUGCAAGAAGAAGGAUGAUGGCGAAAUAAAAAUGGUUUUGUGUGACCAGUGCUUGAAAUGGUUUCACUGGCCAUGUGCUUCAGUGAAGAAGGAGGACCUAAAGCGUCACUGGUUCUGUAUGAAGUGUUGCACUCACACAUAGAUACUUCCUGGAGUAAUAAACACAUUUUUUU